rnacentral:snRNA from 1 species
AUACUAGUUGCUCAUGGCCAUUUUCGUGCCCAUGGCCUAGGAUAGUGACUUCCAUUGCACUUGGGAGGGCUACUUUUCCAAAAUCUCUACAGUGGGAGAGCUUACGUCAUAAUUUGUGGUAGUAUGCCUAAUUAUAGUGUUAGGCUUU